UAGUAUAAGUCCAAGAAGGAUGAAACUGCGAACGGCUCAUUAAACAGUUAUAGUUUCUUCGAUUAGUAAGUACAAGGAUAACUUUGGGAAUGAUAAAGAUAAUACUUGAAACGAUCUUGGAUGUAGAGAUACAUUCAGGCCUUUGCAUCGUUUACUGGUGUGAAGAGAAAGGAUAUCCAAAGUGAAAGUGGGUAUCAUGACAAUUGUAGAAUAGCAAUAUUUGACAAGUAAUCGAUGAGAAUAUCUGAUCUAUCAACUAGUUGGUAGUAUCGAGGACUACCAAGGUUAUAACGGAUAACGAGGAAUUAGGGUUUGACAUCGGAGAGGGAGCUUUCAAGAUGGCUACCACUUCCAAGGAAGGCAGCAGGCGCGUAAAUUACCCAAUUUCAACAGAUGGAAGAGGUAGUGACGACAAAUAACUCACGACAUGUGUAAGCAUGUCUUGAAGGAAUGAGUAAGAAGCAAAGAGUCUUACGAAAUCAA
rnacentral:rRNA from 1 species